rnacentral:rRNA from 1 species
UUAGAGUUUGAUCCAUGGCUCAGAUUGAACGCUGGCGGCAGGCCUAACACAUGCAAGUCGAGCGGAUGACAGGAGCUUGCUCCUGAAUUCAGCGGCGGACGGGUGAGUAAUGCCUAGGAAUCUGCCUGGUAGUGGGGGACAACGUUUCGAAAGGAACGCUAAUACCGCAUACGUCCUACGGGAGAAAGCAGGGGACCUUCGGGCCUUGCGCUAUCAGAUGAGCCUAGGUCGGAUUAGCUAGUUGGUGAGGUAAUGGCUCACCAAGGCGACGAUCCGUAACUGGUCUGAGAGGAUGAUCAGUCACACUGGAACUGAGACACGGUCCAGACUCCUACGGGAGGCAGCAGUGGGGAAUAUUGGACAAUGGGCGAAAGCCUGAUCCAGCCAUGCCGCGUGUGUGAAGAAGGUCUUCGGAUUGUAAAGCACUUUAAGUUGGGAGGAAGGGCAUU